GGAGGGAUGGCCGAGCGGUUUAAGGCGGUGGUCUUGAAAACCUCUGUAGGGGCAACCCUACCGUGGGUUCGAAUCCCACUCCCUCCG
rnacentral:tRNA from 1 species